GUGUCAGCAGCCGCGGUAAUACGGAGGAUCCAAGCGUUAUCCGGAAUCAUUGGGUUUAAAGGGUCCGUAGGCGGGUUUAUAAGUCAGUGGUGAAAGCCCAUCGCUCAACGAUGGAACGGCCAUUGAUACUGUAGAUCUUGAAUUAUUAGGAAGUAACUAGAAUAUGUAGUGUAGCGGUGAAAUGCUUAGAGAUUACAUGGAAUACCAAUUGCGAAGGCAGGUUACUACUAAUGGAUUGACGCUGAUGGACGAAAGCGUGGGUAGCGAACAGGAUUAGAUACCCUGGUAGUCCACGCCGUAAACGAUGGAUACUAGCUGUUCGGAGCAAUCUGAGUGGCUAAGCGAAAGUGAUAAGUAUCCCGCCUGGGGAGUACGUUCGCAAGAAUGAAACUCAAAUGAAUUGACGGG
rnacentral:rRNA from 1 species